UGUCCCCUGCAUCGGCAGGCGGACUCUCAACCACUGCACCACCAGGGAAGCCCCAGCCGUCCUAACUUUGAACGCUGCCAUCACGGACGGGGCUGGGCAGGCGUUCUCCUAGGUGUCCCACCAGAGAAGUCACCACGAACCUGUUCUGAGGAAGCAGAAAGGAAUGCUCUCCGGGACCUGGCAGACUAAAUAGAGUGUUACCAAUGGGGUAUCACCCACAAAGAAACCAUCUGCUUUCACAGAGCAGCCGAGAAAGGGUUUCACGUCGUGCAGUGCUUAUCACCGGUUUGUGCUGAAACCUCAGGGCAGACCACCCACUCCUCAAGCAUGGAGACCCUGAGGCGGCAGGCAAGAAUCUAGGUUCAAACUUCAGGUGGGCCAGAAACGUAGCUUUCUUUGCUUCUCUACAACGGAAUCUGGUUAGGAUUUCAAGCCUCUGUUAGGUUCAGGCGUUGGAAAUGUCAUCUCAGUCCAUUUGGGCAUCUUGGGUGAUGCAUCGAGGCUCUGGGAGGGUUGCUGACUUCCAGGGAACCGCGUGGAGGAAUCAGUGGAACUCAGCACUGUCAUCCCUGCACGUGACGUUCCUGUCUGGCCUUCGGUUCUUGCUCCACCGCUCUCCUCCCUGACUGAAAGGCCAUAUGAGGACACAGCAAGGAGGUGGUGGUCGCCUGCAAGCCAGGAAGAGAGCUCUCACCAGAAACUGACCAUGCUGGCACCCUGACCUUGGACUUAACCAGCCAACAAAACUGACCUUGAAGCCUUCUGGUUAUGGUGACCUGAAGAAGUGGGCAAAUCCUCUUGGCGAAAAGCAGGUGUGAAACUGGACAGAUUGAUCAGAUAAGCCAUUUCAGGUCCCAGCUGCAUGAUCCAUGUUUCAAAUUCCCCUUUCUUCUUCCUCCUUGCCUUCCCCCUUCUCUCUCCCUCUAACCGAACCCCUUCCUUUGACAAGUAUUUAUUGAGAGCCAGGCCAAUCUGGAUGGGAAAACCAUUAAAACAUGAUCACACAAGUAAAUGUAUUAUGAACAACUGUGAUAACAGCUACGAAGGAAAACUACUUCUGAUACCCUUGAGGACCCCAGUCAAUCUCCUACUUCACAAAGAACCUGUGUUCAAGUGACAUCAUGACUUCUCAGGGAUGACUUGUUGGGAAGCCGAAGUUCUCGGGGGGCCUCUGUCAGUGAAUUUCGGAGGACGCAUGUCGUGGGUAAGAGGAAACUUUGGAGAUAGAUUGUUGCGCACCUAUUAGCUUUGUGACCUUGGCUAAGCUUCUCCUCCUCAUCUGGGAUGAUCCUAAACUGGGAUAAUAUCAUCCACCUAAUAGAAUUGUGGAGAGGAGAAAAUGAGGUAAUUCAGGGAAGUGCUCAGACAAGCGCCUAGAGUGUAGUCAGCACCCAGUAAAUCCUGGGUGGACUGGAAGGGUCUUAGAGCACAUGACCAAGGAGUGGUGUGGCAGUGGGGUAGCAGGCAGGGGACAACUUAGACAACAGCAGUGGUACUGACUUUCUCAGCAGUGCCCCUGUGAUAAGACUCUGCCUACAGACAGUGAACCAGGUGGAAUAUUCAGAGGCAGGGAGCGUGAUGGGCCCAGAGCCAAGGGAGGAAAAGCCAUCGAGAUGCUGCCGGCCAUGCUGGGCUGGGCUACGUGCAUGAAGAGCGUCAACAGGGCUUUGCACUUGGUAGGAGGUGAGGACAGAGUUAGCCUGCAGAAAGCCAGCAGUGAGGUGGUGAGACCAUGGGGGGUGAACACCUCCUGCCAGAGGAAAAUCUGGUCAAAGAAUGGUGGUCAGUAGCUUAAGGGGACAGUGGCAAUCCGGAUGGAGACAGGAGGACACAUUUCAGAUGGGGAUAGUAAAGAGGAGGGUCUGUGGAGUUUGGAGACCAGGAGGCCGCCAUCAGCAUGGUUUUGCUGGUGAUACUCUAUCAGGGUUGCUGCCUGGAGUAUGUGUUGGCGGAAAGGUUAGGAGUCAUUACACUGACCAUGGAGACUAAUUGAAGUUCAAGGACGGGAGGAGGCAGCAAGACCGGGAGAACCUGGAGGGGCCAAAGUGGCCAGCAGACUUAAAGAGCAGAAGAGAGAAAGCUUUAGAGAGCUGCGGGGGGAGGGUGCUGAGGCUUCCUCAGCACAGGAGGGCCUGGAGGGAGUGAAGAUUCAACCAGCUGUGUGGCCGGCACGAUGCCCACCAUGCUAGGUGUUCAAUAAGGUUGACAGUGCAAUGAAGAACCCUCAGACGGGCUAGGGAACGUGCAUCUUGUUAUUCCCAUUUUUCAGAUGAUCAGAGACGCUUAGUGUUUUACGUAAGGUCACACAGCCAGACAGUGGGAGGGCCAAGACUCAAACUUGGGGCUCCAGGGUCCUGGCCUGGGACUCUUUGCUUUCAGCACAAUGCUGCCCUCUUAGGAUUUGUUGUCUGGCCCCCUGACUCAGGGCCAACCUCCUGUCCCCCUGACAGACUAUGGGAAGGCAGGAGGGUGCUGUGCAAAGGAAUUUUCAGUUCAGAUCCUACUUUUCCACUUGUAAGUUGUGUGGUCUGGGCAAACGUUUUACCUCUUUGAACCUCGUUGUCUCCUCUGUCCAAUGGGGGUGAUUCAGCCUUUACCCAGCUGUAUCUGGGCCAACCAGCUAGAACGUAAGCUCCGUGAGGGCCGGGCCUUUUGUCUGCUUUUUUCACUACUGGAUGUCCAGCACUGGCGCCUAGAACAGGGCCUUGAAGAAUGCAGUGCCCCAUACUUAGGGCUGUUAUUCCCAAAUAUGACCACAAGAUGGCAGCAAAGGAGAGCGGGUCCCAAGACAAGGCUGUCACAGUUCUCAGGACUCCUACACACUUCCAGACACCAGGUCUCCCUGCAUUAGGACAUGGAGGGCUCUCAUUGUUUCCUGAGCUUCCCUGACUGUGGGCCGUGCAGAUCCCAAUUACUUAGCGCCUUUGAAGUGGCCCGCUGCUGCUCAGGUGUGAAGGGACAGCACAUUCCAUGGGAUGCUCUCCGACUGUGGUCUAGCAGAGCCGUGUAAACUACAAAGAAGGGCACUGGAUUGGAUCUUGAGUCUUAAAUGGUGCCCCCUGGGGCAUUGGGGUGGGGGAUGAGGAAUCAGAGUGGGGUGUGGCUUAGAUGCCUGGAUUGGGAAUGUCUAAAGGUAUCAUCACCUAAACAACAGUUGAUGAGGAAUCUUUACACCGUCAUCUCAUUUUGAGACUGGUGUUAUGGUUAUGGCUGGCGCCUUCAGGUUAUAUCUCAAAUAUUUCCUUCUCAGAGAUGUUUCCCCUCAUUGAAAGUAGCCCCCACUUUGUAUCACACUUUUUCAAAGCACUUACCGCCAUCAGAAGUAAUUUUGUCUCUGUUUUGUAAGUUGCUUUUGUGUGCCUGUGGUUCUCCACUCACCAGGAUGUUUAGGACAGUGUCAGAGGGGAUUCUAGAAGUGGAGCUAUGCCUGGCAUACAGGCGAGUGCUCAGACAAGAACUGAUGAACGUGGAACAAAUUGCACCCCCUGUGUAGCUGUCCCUCUCAUGACAUCCUGAACUUUUCCUAUGAUGCAUGGAUCACACAGUUUUUGGGGGAUUUAUCUCUUGUUCUGCUCCCCAGGGGUUGCAAGCUCAAGGAGGGAAGGACCACAUCCCACGUUCAGUGCCCUGUCCCUGGUGUCUUGCACAGUCCCUGGCACCUGAGGUGACCAGAAAACAUUUAGUGGUGGCUUUCUACCCAGGAUCACAUUGAAUUGACACGCCAGCCUCGUGAGGGACAGAUACCUAUGCCCUUUCUACGUGUCGGGGAGACCGAGGCUCAGAGAGAUGAAAUAACUGUCCCACCAGGCAUUGCAGCUUAGAAGAGGUGGAGGCAGCCUUUGAACUUGGAACUCUACUACCUCUGAAUGCAGACAUGACCUGAGAAGGAGAAUUUUGACUUUUGCUGCUCGUUCUCUCUCUCUUCUUAGUUCCUUUUACUGAGUCUCUUAACCUCACCUCAAUCCUCUUAUCUGCAAUCGGCUUCCAAAGAGGAUUCAAAUCACCUUGUCUUGCAGGCAGGUGCAUCAAGAUCCCCGCAGUCCCUGUAAUUGGUAGUUAUACGGGUACUUGAAAUAGCCUUCCUCUGCUGCCUGCUCUCUCUCUGUCUGUUGUUCUGGGCUCUGCAGAAGUGCUCAGCACUUCCAGUACGGCUGGAUUCUGCCGUACAUGCUGUAAAAAGGCGAGGGCUCUGCCCCAGGCUUUCCUGUUCCCUGCUGAUCACCCACCUCCUCUCCUCCAGGAGCUUAGCCUUGGGUGGCAAAUCCCGGCCUCCCUUCCUGCACUGGAUUUGAGGCUAAUGGCAUUUCUUCUGCCGGCUUUGGAGGUGUGCCCGGCGGCCCCCAUGCUGCUCUCUGCAGCCUGCCUGCCCUGCCCUCACUGCAACAGACGGAGAAAAUAAAUGAAAGUGAGACACUGAAACCCUCACCAGGUGGGAGAAGUUAACUGUCAGCUGCCCACAAGCACGCAGACCCCAGACCGGGUGGAACCGGAAGGUUGAUGAUGCUGACUCCCACUACCUCCCCACCAACCAAUCAGAAGAGUGUCCACGAGCUGAUCAAGCCCUCUUUGAGCCAUUACUACAAAACUCCUCACUACCCCCUCCAGGUUGGGCCACACAGUUUUGAGGGCAUUAGCCCACUGUGGCCCCCUUUUCCUGGCAAAGCUGUUAGGAGAAGAACACUGACUGAAACCGCCCGCCCUGGCCAGGCACGACAGUAACCACUUACAUGGCUUAUCUUACAACAGGAGGUCCUGGUAAGGAGCAUGGAACUAACAAGCCACCACCAACCGGAAGAAUUUGGGAAAAGUCAAAAGGAGACACCAGUCCACAUGUACUACCAACCUCCCAGCAUCCUCCUCGCUGGAAUCCAUCUUGGCUGAGCAAUGCACGUGCCACCAGAAAGGACCCUCAGUCAGAAUGAUUGGCCAGAGACAACCCGUAAACUCACCCAAUUACCAUAAAACCCGAGACUGUGAGCCACGUGGCAGAGCCGUCCUCCUGGCAUCCCUCACCCUCCUGCUCUACCCCCAGGCGCCCCUUCCCAAUAAAGUCUCUUGCUUUGUCAGCACGUGUGUCUCCUUGGACAAUUCAUUUCCGAGUGUUAGACAGGACCCCACUCUCGGGCUGUGGAAGGGGUUUCCCCUUCCUGCAACAAAGCAACAAAGCUAUUCUUUUCUACUUCACCCAGAACUGUCUCCAAGAUUUAAUUCAGUGUCGGGGUACAGAGGCUGGAUUCGGCUUCCGGAGGACACUCACGGAGGACUCUGAGCCCGGGGUGGGGAUGGUAUCUACAUUCUUUUCACAGCCCUCCCACCCUCUUGCCCAGGAUGCCCUCUUGGAAGACUUUUUGGGUCCAUUUUGUUACCCGUACCAAUGGAAGACUGUGGUGGAUGGCGUGGAACACACUUCCAGAGGAGGCAGGGCUGGAUGGAAGAGGCUUUGCGGUCAGACGAGAAGAGCUUGGGAUGCAGUCUUCCCGGGAAACAGCGUACCUGCCUGCACCAACUUACGCACCUGCUGACUUUCUAACUGUGGCUGCAGCGGAUCAAGUGGCCGUGGUCCCACCUCAGGGCGUUUGUACUCGUUAGUCCUUCUGCUUUUGGGUCACUUUUCUCCCAGGUUCCAUGGGUUCUUUCCCAUCAUUUAAGGCUAAUCCUUUGCAACGUGUCCUCAAAGACAUGGUGCCUCCAGUUCAGGCCGCGCCCUCGGCCUCCAGUUCUUUACCACAAUUGUCCUAUCACAAUUUCUCAUUGCAUCUACCCCUCUCUGAACGCAGAGUAUUUAUGUAUCGGUUUAUAGGAAUAUUAUCUAUUAACACUAUCCAUUAAUAUUAUUGUGUGCCAGGUACAUGACAAGCACUCGGUAAAUGGCCGUGCUUAAUGAUGAACCCACUGCAUUGAGUCUCUGUGUACAGGUCCCUCUUUCCCAAGGUCAAGGACUAGGUCUUACUUAUCUUUGCUUCCCGAUAAACCUUAUAUGGAAGAGAUGACCAAGAAAUGUCUGUGACGGGAGAGAAACUCAAAUCGUGUCUUCGAUCUAGUGCAUCCAAAGACCAACG